UACCUAAAGCACUGUAAAACCAUCCCAGACAUAUGUGAGAAGAAAAUUUGAAUGUUUCCCACUUCAGAGAGAGGUUAGAAAUGGAACAAAGGCUGAUCUGGAAACUACUAAAGAAAAUGGCACAGCACAAGUAGCCAUGUCCCAAAGGUGCUUACAGACUGAAGAAUCAAGAACUAAUAGCUCAUCGUCUACAUAAGCAAAACUUUAGCCCUCAUGCAAGCAGCUGUUAUUUUCCUUGAGAUAACAGAUAUUGGCCUGGAUUUCUCAAAAAACGUCUGAAAAGUGCCAAUGAAGUCUUACGGUGGGAUUUCACACAAUAUCUGGCUGAACCAAUACUGCUGGAUUACAACCUGAACUGUGCUGUGGUAUUCCAUUUUGCUCCUUCAUCAAUGGUCAUAAUAGACCAUAUCCAGAACAGCCUAUUUCAUCUCAGGACUUUCUGGUCCUAAAUAAACGUGUGUUACCAAAAGAAUUAUGCCUGUUUGAAACAUAUGAGAAGACACAAGAGGCAGAGCUUAUAAAUAAAACUGUUUUACAGAAA